UCCAAGAGAAAUUACAAAUCUACUGGAAAAGUCUUUCGAGUGGAAUGUUAGCUUCACUGAAAGCACAAUUAUUUAUAGCAGUGUUUCCUUCCAAGUGAAUGCUAUAAACGCAGAAAUCGAUGGUGGCAACAUACUUCCAACUACAUCGUCCUCACAGCCAUCGUCGACCAUACUUUCGCAAGGACAAGGAUCAGGUGUCACACAAAACAAGGGGGCUGCCUUCAUCCGCGAGCCGUCGCUGACACCAGAGAGUCACAAAGUUUCGUCUAGCGCCAAGUGUAAUUUACAGACAGCCACACAUCAGGGAGCCAAUCUGCUGCUAGGAACAGAAAUUAUCACUUCUCCGCCUAACG